AGAGUUUGAUCCUGGCUCAGAGCGAACGCUGGCGGCGUGCUUAACACAUGCAAGUCGAACGCGCAACAUUCUGUAGCAAUACAGGGUGUGGGCGCGUGGCGAACGGGUGCGUAACACGUGGAUAACCUUCCUUCAGGUGGGGAAUAACCCCGCGAAAGCGGGGCUAAUACCGCAUAACAUGACGAUGCCACAUGGUGUUGUCUUCAAAGCCGCAGGGCGCCUAAAUAGGGAUCCGCGGCCGAUUACCUUGUUGGCAAGGUAAUGGCUCACCAAGGCUUUGAUCGGUAGCCGGACUGAAAGGUUGGCCGGCCACACUGGAACUGAGACACGGUCCAGACUCCUACGGGAGGCAGCAGUGGGGAAUCUUGCACAAUGGACGAAAGUCUGAUGCAGCAACUCCGCGUGGGGGAUGAAUCUUUUCGGAGUGUAAACCCCUUUCGACCCGGAAGAAUGCCCGCAAGGGUUUGACGGUACGGGUAUAAUAAGCCCCGGCUAACUACCUGCCAUCAGCCGCGGUAAUACUUAAGGGGCCAGCGUUGCUCGGAAUUACUGGGCGUAAAGGGUCCGUAGGCGGUGUGGCAAGUCGGGAGUGACUCUCUGGGCUUAACCCAGAGGCUGCUUCCGAAACUGCCAUGCUAGAGUGUGAGAGAGGCGAGUGGAAUUACAGGUGUAGCGGUGAAAUGCGUACAUAUCCGUAGGAACAUCCCAGGCGAACGCGGCUCGCUGGAUCACAACUGACGCUGACGGACGAAAGCUAGGGGAGCAAACAUGAUUGAUACCCUGGUAG
rnacentral:rRNA from 1 species